rnacentral:lncRNA from 7 species
AUAGUCCUGUCUGAAUUCUUCGUGCUUUUCUUACAUUAUAAUUAAUAGGUUAGGACUUUCUCACAUCUUGAAGCAUACAAUUGUGGAAUAAUUCAAAGAGGAAGGAGCUUCUGAACUCAGCACGGAUGCUGGCAACGUGACCCGGGUCAACUAGCGCUCUACUUGACAAUUCCCAAGAAUGGCUUGCAAGUUAGCUCUUGCCAGGGGCAGUUUGGAUGCACUCACUGCAGUUUAGCAGGUCAAAUGCACAUGCUUCUUGUUUACUAUGGUCUGUCGGAUGCAUGACAGGAACACCUAGAAGCCCCACUUGAGAUCAGCUUAAUGGACGUUAUACAUGUGGAAGGCCUACAGGCUUGGGUCAUUCAUCCUUUCUACAUGCUUUCCCUUCACUUCGGUUCUGACCAUGAGAUAUGAAUAAACUCAGCAGGUUCACAAAGAAGGCAUAUAUGAACCUUUUACAGCUAGAGUGUGAGCUUAGGUUUGGAAGAAAUCCAAAACCUCAAAAGGAAAUUCAGCUGAAAUGACCAAGUUUUGCCUUGUUUAGGGUCAAAACUUUGUGAAAACAACACUUCCAUGCCUUGAAUGAGAAGUCUUGGAUCACUUAUGUUUGGAUUAUGUUUGCUGUCAGAUAAUACAGUAACUGGUACAACAGAGGUGAUCAAGGGAAUUGCUGGUAGUUAGCUCAUACAAAAACCGCAAAGGAGCAAUUUUGUCCAACCUAUAGGAGAUUGAUAAGUAUGUUAAUUAGAAAUCUGAUUUCAUUUCAGUGCUACCAUCUGGUGGGCAAAAUGCAGACAGCAAAAAUCGCAUUGUUACAAUACUGGAACAUUCUGAUACAGUGAGUUUUUGUUUUACUUUGUGAAGGAAACAUAAGAUAUUAUUAAAACAACUUGAACAUCUGGUUUGGGGAUAAAGUCAUUCUGCAGCAUUGCUGCCAAGCCUCAGGGCCAAGCACAAAGAGAACAACCUUCCCUUCCAGCCUCUCCAUAAUGCUUAACACCAAACUGUAAAAUUUCACGUCCAACACAGAUGAAGAACAAAAUAUACUGAAGCAAUGGCUGUUCAUGUCUAGAAAAAUUCACCUGAUAGCUGGAAUGCCAGGGCACUAUGAAAGAGUAAAGCUGCAGAUUAUAAAAAGUUAAAGACAAAGUUAUAUCAGGUAUUCUAAGGAAAUGAAGAGGAAAGGAAGGUCACUAGGAAACCUUUGUAAUUAUUUAUUGAAAGGCUCUGUUAAGAUGCCUUACUGAAGAGCAGUGCUGUUUUCUUUGGUACAGUUAGAAUUUGCAAUGUGAAGGUGGAAACAUGGGUUAGACUUGACCUUCUCCAACUACUGUCUGAACUCUAGUGGAUCUGGAAGAAAAGUAACCAGUUAUUCCAAUGUUGUAUCGCUUACUUUGAAAUGAAUCUGGCCCCAAACCUCAAACAUUUAUGUAAACUUCUUUCCCAUUAAGAUGUAUUGUCAUAAUCACAUGUCUCGAAGUUUCAGAAAACCUUGGGGGAG